GACGUAGGGCGCGAGCGUUUGUCCGGAUUUAUUGGGCGUAAAGAGCUCGUAGGCGGCUUGUCGCGUCGUCCGUGAAAACCUGCAGCUCAACUGCAGGCUUGCGGUCGAUACGGGCAGACUAGAGUGAUGUAGGGGAGACUGGAAUUCCUGGUGUAGCGGUGAAAUGCGCAGAUAUCAGGAGGAACACCGAUGGCGAAGGCAGGUCUCUGGGCAUUAACUGACGCUGAGGAGCGAAAGCAUGGGGGAGCGAACAGG
rnacentral:rRNA from 1 species